rnacentral:rRNA from 1 species
AUUGAACGCUGGCGGCAGGCCUAACACAUGCAAGUCGAGCGGAUGAAGGAAGCUUGCUCCUGGAUUCAGCGGCGGACGGGUGAGUAAUGCCUAGGAAUCUGCCUGGUAGUGGGGGAUAACGUCCGGAAACGGGCGCUAAUACCGCAUACGUCCUGAGGGAGAAAGUGGGGGAUCUUCGGACCUCACGCUAUCAGAUAAGCCUAGGUCGGAUUAGCUAGUUGGUGGGGUAAAGGCCUACCAAGGCGACGAUCCGUAACUGGUCUGAGAGGAUGAUCAGUCACACUGGAACUGAGACACGGUCCAGACUCCUACGGGAGGCAGCAGUGGGGAAUAUUGGACAAUGGGCGAAAGCCUGAUCCAGCCAUGCCGCGUGUGUGAAGAAGGUCUUCGGAUUGUAAAGCACUUUAAGUUGGGAGGAAGGGCAGUAAGUUAAUACCUUGCUGUUUUGACGUUACCAACAGAAUAAGCACCGGCUAACUUCGUG